rnacentral:tRNA from 1 species
GCCGGCAUGGCUCAGUGGUUGAGCGUUGACCUGUGAACCAGGAGGUCUGGGUUCGAUUCCCAGUCAGGGCA